rnacentral:rRNA from 1 species
AGAGUUUGCUUCUGGCUCAGGAUGAACGCUGGCGGCGUGCUUAACACAUGCAAGUCGAACGGAGUUUUAUCAAUUGAUCGAUCUAGCUUGCUUUUGAGAGAUUUUGAUAAAACUUAGUGGCGGACGGGUGAGUAACGCGUGGGUAACCUGCCGUAUACAGGGGGACAACAGUUGGAAACGACUGCUAAUACCGCAUAAGCGCACGGUACCGCAUGGUACAGUGUGAAAAACUCCGGUGGUAUACGAUGGACCCGCGUCUGAUUAGCUGGUUGGUGAGGUAACGGCCCACCAAGGCGACGAUCAGUAGCCGGCCUGAGAGGGUGGACGGCCACAUUGGGACUGAGACACGGCCCAAACUCCUACGGGAGGCAGCAGUGGGGAAUAUUGCACAAUGGGGGAAACCCUGAUGCAGCGACGCCGCGUGAGUGAAGAAGUAUUUCGGUAUGUAAAGCUCUAUCAGCAGGGAAGAAAAUGACGGUACCUGACUAAGAAGCCCCGGCUAACUACGUGCCAGCAGCCGCGGUAAUACGUAGGGGGCAAGCGUUAUCCGGAUUUACUGGGUGUAAAGGGAGCGUAGACGGGACAGCAAGUUGGAUGUGAAAUACCGAGGCUCAACCACGGUACUGCAUCCAAAACUGUUGUUCUUGAGUGAAGUAGAGGUAGGCGGAAUUCCGAGUGUAGCGGUGAAAUGCGUAGAUAUUCGGAGGAACACCAGUGGCGAAGGCGGCCUACUGGGCUUUAACUGACGCUGAGGCUCGAAAGUGUGGGGAGCAAACAGGAUUAGAUACCCUGGUAGUCCACACUGUAAAC